UUCUGGUUGAUCCUGCCGGAGGCGACCGCUAUUGGAGUUCGAUUAAGCCAUGCGAGUCGAGAGUCUUAGGGACUCGGCGCACUGCUCAGUAACACGUGGAUAAUCUGACCUACGCUCGAGGAUAAUCUCGGGAAACUGAGUUCAAUACUCGAUAGAUCACAUGUCCUGGAAUGGCUUGUGGUUGAAAGGUAACGGCGUAGGAUGAGUCUGCGGCGUAUCAGGUCGUAGUGGGUGUAAUGGACCCACUAGCCCUCGACGCGUACGGGUUGUGAGAGCAAUUGCCCGGAGAUGGAUUCUGAGACACGAAUCCAGGCCCUACGGGGCGCAGCAGGCGCGAAAACUUCACACUGCAGGAAACUGUGAUGAGGGAACUCCAAGUGGCAGCACUAAGUGCUGUCUUUUCUGGACUCUUAAACGGUCUAGGAAGAAGGGCUGGGUAAGACCGGUGCCAGCCGCCGCGGUAAUACCGGCAGCUCAAGUGGUCGCCGCUUUUAUUGGGCCUAAAACGUCCGUAGCCGGCUUGGUAAACCCGUGGGUAAAUCAACCAGCUCAACUGGUUGAAUUCCGCGGAGACUGCCUGGCUUGGGACCGGGAGAGGCGUGAGGUACUCUCGGGGUAGGGGUAAAAUCCUGUCAUCCCGAGAGGACCACCUGUGGCGAAGGCG
rnacentral:rRNA from 1 species